rnacentral:rRNA from 1 species
AAACUUUUAACAACGGAUCUCUUGUGUUCUGGCAUCGAUGAAGAACGCAGCGAAAUGCGAUAAGUAAUGUGAAUUUGCAGAAUUCAGUGAAUCAUCGAAUCUUUGAACGCACAUUGCGCCCGCCAGCAUUCUGGCGGGCAUGCCUGUU